rfam:Hyalangium minutum strain DSM 14724 contig_7, whole genome shotgun sequence.
GCCUCCGUAGCUCAUUGGUCGAGCAUCCGCCUCUUAAGCGGACGGUGAGGGUUCGAUUCCCUCCGGGGGUA